rnacentral:rRNA from 1 species
UACGUAGGUGGCAAGCGUUGUCCGGAAUUAUUGGGCGUAAAGCGCGCGCAGGUGGUUCCUUAAGUCUGAUGUGAAAGCCCACGGCUCAACCGUGGAGGGUCACUGGAAACUGGGGAACUUGAGUGCAGAAGAGGAAAGUGGAAUUCCACGUGUAGCGGUGAAAUGCGUAGAGAUGUGGAGGAACACCAGUGGCGAAGGCGACUUUCUGGUCUGUAACUGACACUGAGGCGCGAAAAGCGUGGGGGAGCGAACAGG